GAGGGGCCAGCAACGGUGGAUGCCCUUGGCACUAGGAGCCGAUGGUUAUUAGGACGGGAACGAACACGCGAUAUGCUGUCGGGGAGCCUGUAAGCAAGCUUUGGAUCCCGGGAAGUUUCCGAAUGGGAAACCUCACCAGCUCGUAGAUGGACGUGGUUAUCCAUUAAUCUGAACUACUAUAGGAUAUAGAAAGGCAGACCCGGGGAAACUGAAACAUCUAAAGUACCCAGGAGGAAGAGAAAGCAAAUGCCGAUUUCCCCUGAGUAAGCGCCGGAGCCGAAACGGGACCCAGCCCAAAACCAAAGAGGGCCUUGCCCUCUUGGGGUUGGUAGGACACUCUGUACGGAGUUACAAAGGAACGAGGUAGAUGAAGAGGUCUGGAAAGGCCCGCCAUAGGAGGUAACAGCCCUGUAGUCAAAACUUCGUUCUCUCCUGAGUGGAUCCUGAGUACGGCGGAACACGUGAAAUUCCGUCGGAAUCCGGGAGGACCAUCUCCCAAGGCUAAAUACUCCCUAGUGACCGAUAGUGAACCAGUACCGUGAGGGAAAGGUGAAAAGCACCCCGGAAGGGGAGUGAAAGAGAUCCUGAAACCGUGUGCCUACAAGUAGUCAGAGCCCGUUAACGGGUGAUGGCGUGCCUUUUGUAGAAUGAACCGGCGAGUUACGAUCCCGUGCAAGGUUAAGCAGAAGAUGCGGAGCCGCAGCGAAAGCGAGUCUGAAUAGGGCGAAUUGAGUACGUGGUCGUAGACCCGAAACCAGGUGAUCUACCCAUGUCCAGGGUGAAGUUCAGGUAACACUGAAUGGAGGCCCGAACCCACGCACGUUGAAAAGUGCGGGAGAAGGUGUGGGUAGGGGUGAAAUGCCAAUCGAACCUGGAGAUAGCUGGUUCUCUCCGAAAUAGCUUUAGGGCUAGCCUCAAGGUAAGAGUCCUCGGAGGUAGAGCACUGAUUGGACUAGGGGCCCCCUACCGGGUUACCGGAAUUCAGUCAAAACUCCGAAUGCCCGAUGACUUAUCCUUGGGAGUCAGACUGUCGGAGUGAUAAGAUCCGUAGUCGAAAGGGAAACAGCCCAGACCGCCAGCUAAGGUCCCAAAGUAUAACGUUAAGUGAAAAGGAGUUGGAGUAUGCUUAGACAACCCAGGAUGUUGGCUUAGAAGCAGCCACCAUUUAAAGAGUGCGUAAUAGCUCACUGGUCGAGUGGACUCUGCGCCGAAAUGUACCGGGGCUAAACGAUCACCGAAGCCUGCGGACUGUUCUUCCGAACAGUGGUAGGAGAGCGUUCUAAGGCCUGUUGAAGCAAGACCGGAAGGGACUUGUGGAGCGCUUAAGAAGUGAGAAUGCCGGUAUGAGUAGCGAAAGAGGGGUGAGAAUCCCCUCCACCGAAUGCCUAAGGUUUCCUGAGGAAGGCUCGUCCGCUCAGGGUUAGUCGGGACCUAAGCCGAGGCCGAAAGGCGUAGGCGAUGGAUAACAGGUUGAUAUUCCUGUACCACCUCCUCACCAUUUGAGCAAUGGGGGGACGCAGGAGGAUAGGGUAAGCGCGGUAUUGGAUAUCCGCGUCCAAGCAGUUAGGCUGGGAAAUAGGCAAAUCCGUUUCCCGUGAAGGCUGAGCUGUGAUGGCGAGCGAAUUAUAGUAGCGAAGUUCCUGAUUCCACACUGCCAAGAAAAGCCUCUAGCGAGGUGAGAGGUGCCCGUACCGCAAACCGACACAGGUAGGCGAGGAGAGAAUCCUAAGGUGAUCGAGAGAACUCUCGUUAAGGAACUCGGCAAAAUGACCCCGUAACUUCGGGAGAAGGGGUGCUCUGUUAGGGUGCAAGCCCGAGAGAGCCGCAGUGAAUAGGCCCAGGCGACUGUUUAGCAAAAACACAGGUCUCUGCGAAGCCGUAAGGCGAAGUAUAGGGGCUGACGCCUGCCCGGUGCUGGAAGGUUAAGAGGAGCGCUUAGCGUAAGCGAAGGUGCGAAUUGAAGCCCCAGUAAACGGCGGCCGUAACUAUAACGGUCCUAAGGUAGCGAAAUUCCUUGUCGGGUAAGUUCCGACCCGCACGAAAGGCGCAACGAUCUGGGCACUGUCUCAACGAGAGACUCGGUGAAAUUAUAGUACCUGUGAAGAUGCAGGUUACCCGCGACAGGACGGAAAGACCCCGUGGAGCUUUACUGCAGCCUGAUAUUGAAUGUUGGUACAGCUUGUACAGGAUAGGUAGGAGCCUUGGAAACCGGAGCGCCAGCUUCGGUGGAGGCAUCGGUGGGAUACUACCCUGGCUGUAUUGACCUUCUAACCCGCCGCCCUUAUCGGGCGGGGAGACAGUGUCAGGUGGGCAGUUUGACUGGGGCGGUCGCCUCCUAAAAGGUAACGGAGGCGCCCAAAGGUUCCCUCAGAAUGGUUGGAAAUCAUUCGCAGAGUGUAAAGGCACAAGGGAGCUUGACUGCGAGACCUACAAGUCGAGCAGGGACGAAAGUCGGGCUUAGUGAUCCGGUGGUUCCGCAUGGAAGGGCCAUCGCUCAACGGAUAAAAGCUACCCCGGGAUAACAGGCUUAUCUCCCCCAAGAGUCCACAUCGACGGGGAGGUUUGGCACCUCGAUGUCGGCUCAUCGCAUCCUGGGGCUGUAGUCGGUCCCAAGGGUUGGGCUGUUCGCCCAUUAAAGCGGUACGCGAGCUGGGUUCAGAACGUCGUGAGACAGUUCGGUCCCUAUCCGUCGCGGGCGCAGGAAAUUUGAGAGGAGCUGUCCUUAGUACGAGAGGACCGGGAUGGACGCACCGCUGGUGUACCAGUUGUUCUGCCAAGGGCAUCGCUGGGUAGCUAUGUGCGGACGGGAUAAGUGCUGAAAGCAUCUAAGCAUGAAGCCCCCCUCAAGAUGAGAUUUCCCAUUCCGCAAGGAAGUAAGAUCCCUGAAAGAUGAUCAGGUUGAUAGGUCUGAGGUGGAAGUGUGGCGACACAUGGAGCUGACAGAUACUAAUCGAUCGAGGACUUAACC
rnacentral:rRNA from 1 species